ACGCACGCUGGCGGCGUGCUUAACACAUGCCAGUCGAACGGAAAGGCCCUGCUUGCAGGGUACUCGAGUGGCGAACGGGUGAGUAACACGUGGGUGAUCUGCCCUGCACUUCGGGAUAAGCCUGGGAAACUGGGUCUAAUACCGGAUAGGAGCCAUUUUUAGUGUGAUGGUUGGAAAGUUUUUUCGGUGUAGGAUGAGCUCGCGGCCUAUCAGCUUGUUGGUGGGGUAAUGGCCUACCAAGGCGGCGACGGGUAGCCGGCCUGGGAGGGUGGACGGCCACAUUGGGACUGAGAUACGGCCCAGACGCCUACGGGAGGCAGCAGUGGGGAAUAUUGCACAAUGGGCGCAAGCCUGAUGCAGCGACGCCGCGUGGGGGAUGACGGCCUUCGGGUUGUAAACUCCUUUCGCUAGGGACGAAGCUUUUUGUGACGGUACCUAGAUAAGAAGCACCGGCUAACUACGUG
rnacentral:rRNA from 1 species